rnacentral:rRNA from 1 species
UACGUAGGGUGCAAGCGUUGUCCGGAAUUAUUGGGCGUAAAGAGCUCGUAGGUGGCGGGUCGCGUCGGGUGUGAAAGCCCAGGGCUUAACCCUGGGUCUGCAUUCGAUACGGGCUUGCUAGGGUCCGGCAGGGGAGACUGGAAUUCCUGGUGUAGCGGUGAAAUGCGCAGAUAUCAGGAGGAACAACGGUGGCGAAGGCGGGUCUCUGGGCCGGUACCGACGCUGAGGAGCGAAAGCGUGGGGAGCGAACAGG